rnacentral:rRNA from 1 species
CAGUCGCCACGGGAAUACGGAGGAUCCAAGCGUUAUCCGGAUUUAUUGGGUUUAAAGGGUGCGUAGGUGGCCUGUUAAGUCAGGGGUGAAAGACGGUAGCUCAACUAUCGCAGUGCCUUUGAUACUGACGGGCUUGAAUGAACUAGAGGUAGGCGGAAUGUGACAAGUAGCGGUGAAAUGCAUAGGUAUGUCACAGAACACCAAUUGCGAAGGCAGCUUACUAUGGUUUUAUUGACACUGAGGCACGAAAGCGUGGGGAUCAAACAGGACUAGAUACCCCAGUAGUCCCUGUCUCUUAUAC